UACGUAGGGCGCAAGCGUUAUCCGGAAUUAUCGGGCGUAAAGAGCUCGUAGGCGGUUUGUCGCGUCUGCCGUGAAAGUCCGGGGCUUAACCCCGGAUCUGCGGUGGGUACGGGCAGACUAGAGUGCAGUAGGGGAGACUGGAAUUCCUGGUGUAGCGGUGAAAUGCGCAGAUAUCAGGAGGAACACCGAUGGCGAAGGCAGGUCUCUGGGCUGUAACUGACGCUGAGGAGCGAAAGCAUGGGGAGCGAACAGG
rnacentral:rRNA from 1 species